ensembl:lncRNA
CCAUUCUCUUCAGGCGUCUACUUUCUCUGCAAUUAUUCACAGUUACCUGCAUCUGCCAAAGGGGACUUCCACCGUUUUAGGGCCAAAGCGUGCAGGAAGUAGGCGAGCUGCGAUCCCAGGCUGGAUGUAAUGGGUUCGAGUCUCAGUCUGGCCCAGUUUCAUCCUCAUCCAGAAAAAGCCUCCUCCAGAAGCCCAUGUGCUCCCAAAACUAGAACAACCUUCUGCUCAACAAUCUGGUUUCAGAAUUGGCCACUCAACUGAGAUUGCCCUGCUCUCGGUUACUGAAGCCCUGAGCCUGGCAAGAGCAGCUUUCAAAUCCCCAGUGCUGGAUCUGUCUUCUGCUUUUGACACAGUUAACCGCCAGAUCCUCCUGUCAACCCUCAUAAAGAUGGUCAUCUCAGGAGCUGCACUCCAGUGGUUCAAGUUUUACCUCUCAGAUGAUCAGACGGUAGCUGUUCACACUGCAGCCUGUCCGACAGAAACCUUGGAGUUGUGACUGAUGAUCAGUUAAGCUUCACAGACCAUAUAUUGCUUUUAUGGCCCAGUCCAGCAAAUUAGAUUUAAACAGCAUUAGGAAGAUUACACCCUUCCUUCCAGAGCUCCUUGUACAUGCUUUUGUUCUCUCCAGACUGGACCAUUGUAAUGCUCUUUUGGAAGACCUUCCAGCAUGUACUAUCAAGCCUCUGCAACAGAUCCAGAAUGCAGCAGCCAGUGUGUCACACCUCUCUUGAUCAGUUUGCACUGGCUACCAAUAAUCACUCGGGCAGAUAUACUUUAAAGAUUAAAUCAACAUUGCCAGUAGGUGGCAGCAGAUCACUGCAUGAGUGAGUCAUUGAGACAUUCAUUCGACUGAUUCAUUCAGUGAGGAAACAUCAUGUGUUGGUCAGAGAUGCGAAACAAUUCUGCUGUGGCUUGUUUGGAGCUAUUUUGAUGAAACAGAG